UCGGAUAUGGUGUAAUGGUUAACAUUACCGCCUCUCAGUUAAUGGAACGCGGUAGCUCGGGGUUCGAUUCCCCGUAUCCGAA